rnacentral:tRNA from 1 species
UCCCUGUUAGCUCAGUUGGCAGAGCGCUCCAUUGGAAGAGGAGAGGUCCCUUGUUCGAUAACAGGACCAGGAG